UACGGAGGAUCCGAGCGUUAUCCGGAUUUAUUGGGUUUAAAGGGUGCGCAGGCGGAAGAUUAGGUCGGUGGUGAAAUUUUGCAGCUCAACUGUAAAAGUGCCAUUGAUACUGGUUUUCUUGAGUGUGGAUGAAGUAGGCGGAAUUUGUGGUGUAGCGGUGAAAUGCAUAGAUAUCACGAGGAACUCCGAUCGCGUAGGCAGCUUACUAAACCAUAACUGACGCUCAUGCACGAAGGCGUGGGGAUCAAACAGGAUUAGAUA
rnacentral:rRNA from 1 species